CUGUCAUGAGGGGCGUGGCUUCACUCCACCCCAGCUCCCAUAUCAUGAGGUGCUGCCUCACUACGGUCCAAAAGUAGUCAGCCAGCCGUGAGAGAAACCUCUAGACCCAUGAGUAAAAGAAGCCUCUUCUGCGUUCUGCUACCGAAACUGCAGUGAAACUUGUGUGUCCUUACCUGGAAUGCCAGGAGGGCCUGGAGGUCCAGGGGGGCCUUGGUAACCACGGAAGCCAUAAUCUCCAUGACAACACUUGCUGCAGUCUGGGGGCAGUCCUCCCGCUUGUGGAGACUUAAAAACAACGAGGAAAGAAACUUCAGAGGAAUGGUACUGAAAGCUUCCAAGAUGCUAAUGGGUCUGAAUCUCCUGAGUGAGUCUUCACCUGAAGAUGCUUCAGAAAUUUAAAGCUAGAAGACUAGAAAAUGGAAUGGAGCAGAACCUGAAAUGGGAUUUCAGCAGCCUGGCUGGUGUUGGUUACCAGGAAAUAAUCAAAGACGAUCUAUAGCACCCCCACUGGACAACCAAGAAAGACACAGUCCAGAAAGCUGGAAAGCCCAGAUCAAGGAUUGGACACAAGUUAAAUGACUUCACCACUAAAGCAAACAUCCUUAGACAGAAGACAGUCUCUGAAAGAAACAUUUCUUUUACAUCUGCCCUGGACAAAAGCCCCAUGGAGCGACUUGAAAACUGCACCUUGAGGUUCAGUUACAUGUCUCAGGCUUACCCCUGUUGCGAUGAGUCUGUGUGGGAUCCUAGUCUGACCACAGGGCCAGAUAAUCAACUGAGACUUCUCAGUCUACGUACAAGGGUGAGGAAUGAAGUUAGAUGGCAACUAUGUGAAGAGAAGUUCCAGAGACUCUAAAAAGCGUGCAGCCAAUGGGUUCUUGUGGUAAUCUGCACUGCUUCAAAGAUGAUGUAUUCAAAGAAAUCCUUCUCCCCAUUCCAUUUCAUGUCAGCAUUUUUCAUGCUUGAGCACUAAGCACAAAUAAGUUUCUUCCUCCUGUUUUUGCUGCUUUUCAUUAAAUUGAAGUUUGCUCAUUUGCAAUUUACUACACCAAAACCUUUACUUGUUCUAUGUUACCCAAGAGAGUUAAAGGAGUGUCCUCAGAUGCUGAGCUUAUGCCCCAACGAAUAAAUCAAGUUCUGUCAUCAGGAAA